GGGGCUAUAGCUCAGCUGGGNNGGUUAGAGCGCACCCCUGAUAAGGGUGAGGUCGGUGGUUCAAGUCCACUCAGGCCUACCA
rnacentral:tRNA from 1 species